rnacentral:rRNA from 1 species
GACGAGUCUCACGAACGUUAUUCGGAAUUACUGGGCUUAAAGGGUGCGUAGGCGGGUCUUUUAAGUCAGGGGUGAAAUCCUGGAGCUCAACUCCAGAACUGCCUUUGAUACUGGAGAGCUUGAGUCCGGGGAGAGGUGAGUGGAACUCCGAGUGUAGAGGUGAAAUUCGUAGAUAUUCGGAAGAACACCAGUGGCGAAGGCGGCUCACUGGCCCGGUACUGACGCUGAGGUGCGAAAGCGUGGGGAGCAAACAGGG